ensembl:lncRNA
CACAUGCAGUCGCUCAUCCAAGGUCUGGAUGAGACCACUCAUUCCAUCCAGUAUUACGUUACUUAAGCAUGCCAUACUUCUGUGAAAAAGCAAGUAUUCUCUCAGAUGAAGAAGCAAGGGAAAAUGCAAGUUUUACCUGUCUCUGAUCUUACUCAGGGUUAAUUCUUGUGAUCAUAGAAUCACAGAGUGGUUCAUUAUGCUGGAAAAUCCAUCUGUCAUCACAGGAACCAACUUGCCAAAGACCUGGAGCAAUGGGUAUGGCCCCUGAGACAAGAAACCCUGUUACAGUUUGUGUGGAUGACCUUCUGAUAGCUACUGAAACAAAGGAGAUCUGAUAGAGAUGGGUUCUUUCUGGUAAAAGAGAAAGAAGAACAUAUUUAUACAACUGCUGCUCCCCAACAGAUCAUACCAAUCCAUGUGCAAGCAACUUACACAUGCUCCUCUGAAGAAAACAGUAAGAGAAGCCAUAUCCUCUAGCAGCAAUCUCAGCUCAUCUGCUUUCCCAGCUCUUUCUAAGAACACCUACUGGAGUCCCAUCUGAAGAACAGAAACUGGACAGCAGCAGCAAGGAUUGAAAAUAGAUUUUCAUGAGCUCUGAGGUUCUUCCAGUCCACUCUGCAAGCUGUCAUUCAUGAUCUUCUAAUAGACAAGAAGAACAAAUAGUGGCUGCUUCUUUCACUUCUUUUUCACUUGUGCCUGUGUCUGCUGUGUACAGCUUGAAGACUGUACCAGCAAUAAGGAGAAAAACAGUCUCUUGACAGGUUAAGAACAAGAUGUCUUAGAGGAGAAUUAUGUUCAGAUUCUCCCAGUUUGAAUUAUACUGUCAUUUUUGUGCCUCAUUCCUCUUAGAUGUGUAGAUCUGGAGUCACCUGGUCAAAAAAGUGAAACUCAAAUUGGCCCUUUUCAUCUCUACCAGCCCUCAAGCACUUAAAAUGCCAAAAAGUCACACUCAUCUUCCAUGAGAGUUUUGGACUUGAAACUCCUAGUCACCACCUAUGUACAUCUAAUUUCCUGAAAACUUUUUCUAUUGAAUUCUGGAAGAUGGAAAACAAUGUGUUUCUCCUUUAUAUUUUCAUUUUCUCUGUGCUAUUUUCUGGUUGAUUCUUCACUUGCUGCCCCUGGGUUGAACCAGCUGCAAAUACGAAAGUGAAAAGAAUUGCAGCUGACUACUGGCAGGCAAGAGUGUGAAUAUGAGCAUCAUAGAAGGAAGAUUAUAUCAGUAGAGAGACUGCAGAUAAUAGUCUCCUCAGUCUGAUUUAUGUUUUACUAAUUCAUUCAGCCUGUGCCCUUUAAGAAAGGACUUUUUUGAUAGGAUUUUUUUUUUUUUUAAUAGGAUUUUGUUUCAUGUCAUGGAAUUCAGUGAUUCAGUAGCCAUUGCAACACAUAAAAAGCACUUCUGGUCUGAAAGGAGAUGAAUUUAAACAAUCACUAUCCUUUUUUUCCUCAAGAGUACAAUUGUUCAAACAAGUGGAUCUGCAGAACCAUACUGUUUAGGUCUGGAGAUGAAGAGUAUGUUCUUGUCUAGGGAGGCAAUGUGGUAUAAAAAUCUUUCUCAUGAAUGUACCUGUUCAUCUAUCAUUAAUUCACAUUUUUUAUUUUUAUACGUAUGCAUUCUUUGGGAACUGAAGUAAAUGGUGAACUCUGAUUUUCUGAGGGAAAUACUAACUGCUUAGUGUUUUAUUUGUACUUUGAAGUCGAGAGCCAAUUCAGUGCUGUGUUAGUGCUCUGAUGUUAAAAAAUAUUUUGCAACUAGCUUUUCCUUCAACCAAAGCAAAAAUAAUGUUGAAUGCUAUUAAUGUGAAUUUUCUUCCCAGAAUUAAGUUAAAUUCUUUAUUUCCAUUUUGUAAUUUGUAAUCAGAUAGAAAUACAGGGAGAUGAUUUUCAUAGUCUUGCCUGCAUGACCUUGUGAGUGGUGCUAGGCUAGCAGUUAUGUGGGGUAGAGAUAAUCAUCCAGAUGUUCCCUCAUAAACUGCCCAGAAAAGAAGGGGAAGCUAUUCUGUUUUUCUAAAUGAGUUCUUUCUCUAUGAAAGGUGAGAAUAAGACUGCUCAGUCAUACUUCUAUGACUGAGCUAUGAGGGAUCAUGGGCAACCAUCUAUGUACUUAACUAGAUGAAUAAUGAAUGAGUGAAGCAUGGGAAAAUAGCUGUCACAUUUAUUUUCUACAUACCAGCAACAGGGAAUCAUUUCUAGCAUCCUAAUACACCAAAGGAUCCUUUGAAGGAAGAUGUCCCUCAUUUAUUUGACUAUGCAUACUGGAGUGUUGUUUUGUGGUGUGAAGUUACUGGUGCAGUAAGUAGAGUUAGUACUUAAACUAUUUUUAGGGACUUUUAAAGUACAGUAAAGAUUUGUUCAUUUCCAGUAUCCUCUUUCUCUUUGUAUCAUAGGGAGCUUGUUAUUGUGAGCCAGUUUUUUCUUAAACAUACAGAUAAAUUAGAAAGGAUAAUUAUAUCUCAAAAGCAUCUUAAUUGUCCCAGUUACUUGACCAGUUUUGACAGCUGGGGAAGGAGGGAUAUCUGUAGACAUAAGACAAUGUUUCACAGAAUCACAGAAUCACAGAAUCACAGAAUCACAGAACUGUAGGGGUUGGAAGGAACCUCUGAGGAUCAAGUCCAACCCCCUUCUAAAGUAGCUUCCUUAGGAAAGCAUCCAGGUGUGUCCUGAAAAUCUCCAUAGAAAGAGAUUUCAGUCUCUCUGGGCAGCCUGUUCCAGUGCUCUGCCACUCUCACAGUAAAGUUCUUCCACAUGUUGAUAUGAAACCUCCUGUGUUGCAGUUUUUGCCCAUUGCCCCUUGUCCUGUCACAGCACAUCACUGAAAAGAGCAGUGUGGUGCUUGGACAAUACUCAUGGCACAGCUAUAAUAAUCAGUGCCUAGAUUUAAAAGUAUACUAUAUGCACUGCGAAAGAAAGAGAACAUCAGUGAAUUUUAUGAAAUCCUUUUUUCAGUCAGCUUUCUGCAGGAGACAAACUCCAUUAGCACAAAAUCAGUUAUGAUUAAAUUCUAUUUAACCAAAAUUGGCAAAUUCCAUUUCCCCCACAUUUCAUUAUGGUUUAAAUGCUACAACGAUAGAUUGAAUUAAACCACCUUCCACAGUAUCUUCCUGGUAAAAUCACUACCAGUUAUGAUUUUACUUUUUUGGAUGAAAAUUAAGCAACAUAUAAUUGUCCUAAAUCACUGAUGAGGUUACUUGGUCUGGUAUAAUAGGCAAUAUAAAAACCCUGCCAGAGGUUUUUAUGUCAGAGGGCACAGCUGUUAAAGAAGUCAUUUCAGGCUUUUUUUUAGGCAUAUUAGACAUUCUUUGGUGUUAAAAAAUAAAAGACAAAUAUUUGAACUCACAAUCUCGACUCUAGCUUGAAUGAAAGAAGAUGAAAAUGCAGAAACUUCCACUCCUUCCAGUGUCUAAAAAGAAGCAAUGUGCCUCUUCCGUUGGAAGGCUCUAGUAUCAGUAUGAUUUCAAGAACAAAGUUAAUGUUGAUCAUGUCUUUACACACUGUCCUGCAGAAAUGCUUUCUUGAACUAAGGUCAUGGUUAAGGGGAUAAAAAGAAAUAAAGGCCUUCUACUUCUUCUUUCUAAAAUACUGUUACGUCUGUUUUAAGAUCUCACCAAAAUUAGCAAAAUAUUAUUCUCAUCAUUAAACUGAGUUGCAUAAAAGUAAUUGGAUCUGACAUAAAAUAGUUGUUCUUUCAAAGUUAUACUUUGGGGCAAUCAGGGAGCAGGCAACAAUAAAUUAAAGCAAGACAGUCAAAUUCCCAAACCUCCAACUCAGUUAUUUUAAAAAUGCACCUUUUUAGAAGAGAGGCAGAUGAGCCGGUAAAAUUAACUAUACACUAAAUGCACGUAUUUUUGAAUAGCUUUAUGAGGCAGAAGUAUCCAGCUUCCUCAGUCCAGAUUUCUCAGCAGAAGUAACCAGAAAAAACAACAACAACAACAACAAAAAUAGAAUAAAAAUAAGUAACCCCUGGUGUCUCUGAAAUCAUCAGGGACAUGCAUAUGCCCAUGUAGAAAUUCAGUACAAAAAACAUCUUAGUGAUGAACUACUACUACUAGGCAUAAUCUAUAGCCCCUGCUAGUAAUUAAGCUUAUUAAUCUUGUGAAAUUAAUGUGAUAAUGCAGCUAACAGCUUAGUACUGAGCCAUUCUUGCCACUGCAUGUAUCACACAGAGGCAGAGUAGCUCUUGAAGAAAAGAUCUUCAAGAAAACCCUUAGAUUAUUAAAGCCACUCUAGGCAAGCAGUGGGGAAGGCUGUUAAAUCUGUUUCUGAGACUUAUUUUAUUGGAAAAUAGAAAGCAUUAAAAAUAAGCAAUAUAACAAUUAUGUUUGAAGUCCAGAUUAUGCAUCUUCUCCUCUUACUUUAGAAAUUAGCUUCUUUAUUUUCUGCAGAGAGACUUACUAUCAAAACUGAAUUAUAUUUUCAUCAGAUAAAUUACUUAGAGGUACCUUAGGUCUUCAGUCUUCAAAGCUCUACCAAACUGAACGAAAAUUUAUCCUAAUUUAAGACUAUCCAAGUAGAAUAUGAACGUAAGCUGGUCCUAUUACCUGCAAAUUCCAGUUCUUUGGAUACUAACACAGACAGAUAAAAAAUCUUAUCAGCUAGAGAAUCGCGUAUUGCAUACCACUCUUAGGGGGGAUGAUGUAUCUUAAAGUUCUCUGAAUUCAGGCUACAUGGCUGCAGCAUGGUGAACGUGAUCACAAAAAUUACAGGCCAAAGUGGUUAGUUAAUCCAAAGAUGUCUAAUCAUUUUGAUGCUGCAGACUGCAUGCAUGAUGUAGUUGAAAACCACUGGAUAUAGAUUACACACCUAAAGGAUGAGUGAACUCCUUGAAAACACAUAGGUGAGUUUUCCGUGCUAUCUAUCCAUCUAAUCUGUGGUGGUGACUAUCUCCCUCUUGCUUCCUACAAAGACUCAUAUUUUUUUGUAUGUUUGUUUUUUGGUUUUUUUGUUUUUUGUUUUUGCUUGUUUGUUUGUUUGUUUGUUUGUUUGUUUUGAGCAUAUGUACUCCAAGAACCACAAGCUGGUCAUUCCAUCGUUCUGGAAAUAAAUCUGAAAUCGAGUCCUCAUACCUACUAUAUUCCAGUACCUUCCAUACUUUUUGCUGAUCUAGUCUUAGUAUGAAAGGCUGUCAUUACUUAGAAAUGCAAACAACAAAUUGUCUGAACCCUCCUUUGUUUCUGGUUCAAAGCUUGCUUUCAAAGGCAUUUCUUGUGAUAGGACUUUGACUUACCUAAGAGAUGAGAGGUGGGUGUUGCAGUGUGGCAAUUGGCAUCACUGUGUGGAAAAUUGCACAUUUGAAAACAUUUUUUUGGAGCUGUUUGCCUUUGGAAGAGUGCUCAGGACUGUUUACUGGCAAAAGAUCCAGCCUGUGACCAAAUAACUCCAUCUUGCCAUGGAGGAUUGGGGGAUGAUACCAUUGUAUGCUGUGAAGGCUCCCUCUUAUCUGCAGGCAAGGCCCGGAAGAUGGGAACAAAAGGAAUUCCUUUUGAGAUCCAAAAGCCAGAAGUUGUCACUCCAAAAGGAGCUGACUUGACCACUUUGGACUUAUUUAUAAGUUUGUACUGCCAUCGGAAAGUUUCUCCAUUAUUUCCAUCGUCCCAGUCAUUGUCGCUAUCGUCAUUGUCAACCGAGCAACAACACCCAACAACCCACCACUACUGAAGAUCACCUACAAGCAGUGCUGGAAUCUGUGGUGGUAACUAUCUCCCUCUUGCUUCCUGCAGAGACUCCUUGCUUUUAUUUCCUAUCUUUUCUAUUGCCCAUCUUUCCUUCCCCAUCUCCCUAAAUGACUAGGAUUUGUAAUAAACCGGUCAG